rnacentral:rRNA from 1 species
CAAAUGGAGAGUUUGAUCCUGGCUCAGGAUGAACGCUGGCGGCGUGCCUAAUACAUGCAAGUCGAACGAAGAUGAAAGCUUGCUUUCAUCUUAGUGGCGAACGGG